AGCUUAUUGGUUUUUUAUAGUAAGUGUUUUCUGCUCAAUGCGUUAAUAGUAAAUAGCCGCAGUAUCUUGACUGUGCAAAGGUAGCAUAAUCAUUUGUCUUUUAAUUGGGGACUGGAAUGAAUGAAAAUAAGAAACUAAUUCUGUCUCUUUUAUUUUUAUAUAAUUUGUUGUUUUUGUGAAGAAACAGUAUUUCUGAAAAAAGACAAGAAGACCCUAUUAAGCUUUACUUUUGUGUGUGAUUUUUAGUUUCUUUUUGAGGAUUAAUUUAAAAUUUUCUUAAAGUUUAGUUGGGGCGACUAAAAAGGACAAAUAUCCUCUUUUUGGUUUAUAUUGACUGUUAAGUUUGUAAAAGGAUCCAAAAGUUUUUGAUUUAGAGAACAAGUUACUAUAGGGAUAACAGCGUAAUUUUUUUGGAGAGUUCUUAUCGAUAAAAAAGUUUGCGACCUCGAUGUUGACUUUUUAUUUCCUGUGUAGGUGCAGUAGUUAUUAGGGUUAGUCUGUUCGACUAUUAAAAUAAA
rnacentral:rRNA from 1 species